UAAUACGGAGGGGGCUAGCGUUGCUCGGAAUUACUGGGCGUAAAGCGCGCGUAGGCGGCGAAUCCAGUCAGGCGUGAAAGCCCAGGGCUUAACCCUGGAACUGCGCUUGAUACUGAUUUGCUAGAAUUCGGGAGAGGGUAGUGGAAUUUCCAGUGUAGAGGUGAAAUUCGUAGAUAUUGGAAAGAACACCGGUGGCGAAGGCGGCUAUCUGGCUCGAUAUUGACGCUGAGGUGCGAAUGCGUGGGGAGCGAACGGGAUUAGAUACCCCGGUAGUCCACGCCGUAAACGAUGAGUGCUAGUUGUUGGGCAGCUUGCUGUUCAGUGACGUAGCUAACGCGUUAAGCACUCCGCCUGGGGAGUACGGCCGCAAGAAUG
rnacentral:rRNA from 1 species